AGCGGCGGACGGGUGAGUAACGCGUGGGUAACCUGCCUCAUACAGGGGGAUAACAGUUGGAAACGGCUGCUAAUACCGCAUAAGCGCACAGUACCGCAUGGUACGGUGUGAAAAACUCCGGUGGUAUGAGAUGGACCCGCGUCUGAUUAGGUAGUUGGUGGGGUAACGGCCUACCAAGCCGACGAUCAGUAUCCGACCUGAGAGGGUGACCGGCCACAUUGGGACUGAGACACGGCCCAA
rnacentral:rRNA from 1 species